rnacentral:lncRNA from 1 species
GAGAAGACGAGAAGAAAGAAAAACAGUGAGGAAGAAAGAAAAUAGUCAUCAGGAAAAGGGAGGAAGAGAAGGUUGCCUCGGGAGUACCGAGUUACUGAGGUUCAGACUUUCUUCAGAAAUGCUGAGGGGAGUUGAACAGCAGUUCAAAACGCAGAUAAAGAAAUACACGGACCGUGCAAACAAAAGAUGAAACCUGGCUUUCAGCAAGCAAGCAAAGUUACAUGAAUUUCUGCAAAAUAUAUUAAAAAAAAAAAAUCCUUUGUAACUACAUCCUGGAAAUAACUUCUCUAGUAGAAAAGCCUUUCACAAAAUAUAGGGGAUUGUUUUAGGGAGGAAAAAAUGUGUAUGUAUAUGCAUGUGUAUGUAUCUCAGAUAAAAAUACUACUGUACUCGGUCUAUGAGUAGCUGUCCAAAAAAUGAAACAUAGCCCGUGGUAAUUUUUUAGUUGUAUACAUGUACAUUUCUGGUGAAAAAUGGAAGUUCCUAUGCAGAAAGUCAGAACAACAUGUACAAGCAGCCCAAAUUGGUUUUGAUUAACAAGGUUUCCUGCCUGGAAGUCACUUUGUCUUCAUCCCGUUAGCUAGACUCAACAAAACAAAUGAGUCUAAUGUAUUAGGCUUAAAC